CGGAUUGCAGCCUGCAACUCGGCUGCAUGAAGCUGGAAUCGCUAGUAAUCGCAGAUCAGAAUGCUGCGGUGAAUACGUUCCCGGGUCUUGUACACACCGCCCGUCACACCAUGGGAGUUGGGAAUGCCCGAAGUCAGUGACCCAACCGCAAGGAGGGAGCUGCCGAAGGCAGGCUUGAUAACUGGGGUGAAGUCGUAACAAGGUAUC
rnacentral:rRNA from 1 species